rnacentral:rRNA from 1 species
CACGUAGGGUGCGAGCGUUGUCCGGAAUUAUUGGGCGUAAAGAGCUCGUAGGCGGUGUGUCGCGUCGGCCGUGAAAACCUGCAGCUUAACUGUGGGCUUGCGGUCGAUACGGGCAUCACUGGAGUUCGGCAGGGGAGACUGGAAUUCCUGGUGUAGCGGUGAAAUGCGUAGAUAUCAGGAGGAACACCGAUGGCGAAGGCAGGUCUCUGGGCUGACACUGACGCUCAUGCACGAAAGCCAGGGGAGCGAACGGG